AUCGCUUCUCGGCCUUUUGGCUAAGAUCAAGUGUAGUAUCUGUUCUUAUCAGCUUAAUACUGAUACGAGUCCUAUUUGGACUCAAGAUAUUAACUAAUUUUGCCACUUGCGCCGUGAAGGGGCUUGCUCCUCCGGCGCCGCGGGUUGUCCCGGCGUUGCACUGCUUGCCGGGUUCGGCCCCAAGACC
rnacentral:snRNA from 1 species